CCCUACGGGGGGCAGCAGUGGGGGAUAUUGCACAAUGGGGGGAACCCUGAUGCAGCGACGCCGCGUGGGUGAAGGAGCGUUUCGGCGCGUAAAGCCCUAUCGGCAGGGAAGAAGAUGACGGUACCUGACCAAGAAGCCCCGGCUAACUACGUGCCAGCAGCCGCGGUAAUACGUAGGGGGCAAGCGUUAUCCGGAUUUACUGGGUGUAAAGGGAGCGCAGACGGCUGUGCAAGUCUGGAGUGAAAGGCGGGGGCCCAACCCCCGGACUGCUCUGGAAACUGUAAAGCUGGAGUGCAGGAGAGGUA
rnacentral:rRNA from 1 species